CUGCCACUGUCAGCCAACAGCAAGCAAACUUGCAACGCAACAACAGCAAUCAGCUGUAGCAAAUAGUCAACAACGCUCAAACGCUAACGCGCUGCAUAUUGUUGUUGUUGCUGGAUAUUUUUUGUUUAAGAUCAACGAUGCAAUUCAAUUCUGCGUUCAAUUACGUUCUAAUCGUUGGCGAGUAAACAACGUAAACGGAUAAAGAAAAGGCGCGUUUGUUCGGCAGCAGCACAAUUUCGCAGUUAAAAGUUACAUAAUUUGCUAUACAACAUUAUUACAACAAUAAAAGCAAAUAUUACGAUUCGAAAACAUUUUGUAUUUAGAUUCUUUGCAAUGGUUUUGCUGCGCGUUAUAAAAUAUCUUGUGGGUUGCGUUGUGCGUCUUUGUGAGGAGCUCAACCAGAAUAUUCUGUCAUGGAAAAUGCUCAAAUAUCGGGUGUUGCAUCAUGAGAGUUGACUGUUGAGGGCGCAAGGCGGCUGGCGUCAAGAAAUUCUACUUAGUGUACCACUACUUGUCGAUGACGAUCUGCUGAAUCUAUUCGAAGAUUUAUGAUGGCACUGUGGCAGUGUUGAAGUUCGUAACUUAAGUCUUUUGUUUUGGAAAAUGAAACUAACUGUAACAGAUAAUAAAUUGUUAAUGAUAAAUAAAUAUUUUUAUA